GGGGAUGGACCUCCAGAUUUCCUUACUGGAAAACAAGCUCAGGGCUCCCACUGAUUGUACAUUAUGGUGAGACGUGGUCUUGUAACACAGUGGUUAAGAAUGUGACUUUGGAGCCAGCCUGCUAGGGGCUGAAUUCUGACUCAGCCAUUUAUUAACUGUGUGACCUUAGGUCAUAGAAUUUUCCACACUCCUUGACGGAGGUUCUUAACCCUUAUCCAUCAGCAUUCUCAGACAGCACCUCCGGUUAGGGACAGUAUCUGACCGUCCGACAUCCCUGCAGCCCCCAUGCUGUCACACAGACUCAGCCUCAGGUAGAUGGUUUCCGUAGAUGGUGGCUUUCUUUGGACCCUUGAUAUCAACCAGUUACUAUUUGACUCUUCUGCAGAACCCCAUGUUGACCCCUGCUUUGAGGUGGCAGCGUUAACACUACUCUUUGUUAUAAGCUCUCGUCUGGGGCAACUCAGGAGAACCUCAGCAAGGCCCACAUUCUCCCGGUGAAGCCACAGAACCACAGGGAGAAAUCCAUGGACUUGGCCUCGCUCUCUAGGGGACCAGAUGUGCAGAGGUAAUGAAUACCAGGGAAUCAGGAAACCACUGGAUCAGUUCUUUGAGCCAUAGAACAACACUCAUCCCAGCAGCUGGGAAGCUAUCUGCAAAAGUCCAUCUGCAGAAAGGGCUUCCUGGUCUUGCGUGUGGCUGGGCCAUUUCUCUGGAUGCAGGUUUUUCAUUAUACAGUCUUCUCAAAGGACCACCUGCUCUCAACACC
rnacentral:antisense_RNA from 1 species